rnacentral:lncRNA from 12 species
CAAAAAAGUCCUAAAUGUGGCCUGGGCCAUCUCCAGUCUCCAGCUUGGCAAGUCUGGGCAUAUUGUUCAGGCGUCUCCCCAUGACUACCCAGCCACGGGCCUGCCAUUCUGAUUUCAUAACCACCCAAAAUGUACAACUUCACACCACUCCUAGCCAGUGUGGGUUCAUUAUCUACACUGAGCACUCAGAUCUGUAGUGAAGACCACAGGACUAGAAAUGAGGAAAGCUUUGUUUCAGUUCCAGUUCUGCAAGUACACAUUCGAUUGUGUGAGGUUUUCAUGAGUGCACAGGAUGCCCUGUAUCCUUGGGAAGCAUGCUGGUAUGGUAAUGAAGAAGACCAAGCUUGUGCUUGGUCACGCAGGGGACAGCUCGAAGCAAAUCCAGAGAUCCAGAGCAAGGCUGGAUUUCUGA